GAUGAAGAACGCAGCGAAAUGCGAUAAGUAAUGUGAAUUGCAGAAUUCAGUGAAUCAUCGAAUCUUUGAACGCACAUUGCGCCCGCCAGUAUUCUGGCGGGCAUGCCUGUUCGAGCGUCAUUUCAACCAUCAAGCCCCCGGCUUGUGUUGGGGACCUGCGGCUGCCGCAGGCCCUGAAAACCAGUGGCGGGCUCGCUAGUCACUCCGAGCGUAGUAAUACAUCUCGCUCAGGGCGUGCUGCGGGUUCCGGCCGUUAAAAAGCCUUUUUUACCCAAGGUUGACCUCGGAUCAGGUAGGAAGACCCGCUGAACUUAAGCAUAUCAAUAAGCGGAGGA
rnacentral:misc_RNA from 1 species